rnacentral:rRNA from 1 species
CCAGACUCCUACGGGAGGCAGCAGUGAGGAAUAUUGGUCAAUGGCCGCAGGGCUGAACCAGCCAAGUCGCGUGAGGGAUGACGGUCCUAUGGAUUGUAAACCUCUUUUGUCAGGGAGCAAAGGGCGCCACGUGUGGCGUUUUGCGAGUACCUGAAGAAAAAGCAUCGGCUAACUCCGUGCCAGCAGCCGCGGUAAUACGGAGGAUGCGAGCGUUAUCCGGAUUUAUUGGGUUUAAAGGGUGCGUAGGCGGAAUAUCAAGUCAGCGGUAAAAAUUCGGGGCUCAACCCCGUCGUGCCGUUGAAACUGAUGUUCUUGAGUGGGCGAGAAGUAUGCGGAAUGCGUGGUGUAGCGGUGAAAUGCAUAGAUAUCACGCAGAACUCCGAUUGCGAAGGCAGCAUACCGGCGCCCAACUGACGCUGAAGCACGAAAGCGUGGGUAUCGAACAGGAUUAGAUACCCGGGUACC